CUUCGCGUCAACAGUACUGCUCAUGUCCUUCACGCUUUUGUCAAUGGAAAACAUAUUGGUAGUCAACACGCUGAGAAUGGUAAAUUUAACUAUGUAUUUGAGAAAGAUGUGAAGUUUAAGUCUGGUCGUAAUGUCAUUGCUCUUCUUAGCAUAACUGUGGGACUUGCGAACUAUGGUGCUUUCUUUGAAAGUAAGCCGGC